GAUCCUGGCUCAGAGUAAACGCUGGCGGCGUGUCUUAAGCAUGCAAGUCGGACGGCAAGCCGCCUUCGGGCGGCCUAGAGUGGCGGACUGGUGAGUAACACGUGGGUGAUAUACCUUUUGGACGGGGAUAGCCCCUAGAAAUAGGGGGUAAUACCGGAUAAGGCCGUGCGGGUUGGAGCCGCACGGGGAAAGGCGCUAUGGCGCCGCCGAAAGAAUAGUCUGCGACCUAUCAGCUUGUUGGUGAGGUAAAGGCCCCACCAGGGG
rnacentral:rRNA from 1 species